rnacentral:rRNA from 1 species
CCUACGGGAGGCAGCAGUAGGGAAUAUUGCACAAUGGGGGAAACCCUGAUGCAGCAACGCCGCGUGGGGGAUGAAGGAUUUAGGAUUGUAAAGCUCUAUCGUCAGGGAAGAUUAUGACGGUAUCUAAUGAAUAAGCACCGGCUAACUACGUGCCAGCAGCCGCGGUAAUACGGAGGGUGCAAGCGUUACUCGGAUUUACUGGGCGUAAAGAGUGCGUAGGCGGGAGAAUAAGUCAGAUGUGAAAUGCCGUAGCUUAACUACGGAACUGCAUUUGAAACUGUUAAGCUAGAGUGUAGGAGAGGUAAGUGGAAUUCCUGGUGUAGCGGUGAAAUGCGUAGAGAUUAAGAGGAAUACUAGUGGCGAAGGCGACUUACUGGAACGUUACUGACGCUGAGGCUCGAAAGCGUGGGGAGCAAACAGGAUUAGAUACCCUAGUAGUC